rnacentral:rRNA from 1 species
UACAGAGGGGGCAAGCGUUGUUCGGAAUUACUGGGCGUAAAGGGCUCGUAGGUGGCUUGUUAAGUCAGACGUGAAAUCCCUCGGCUCAACCGGGGAACUGCGUCUGAGACUGAUGAGCUCGAGUGCAGGAGAGGAACGCGGAAUUCCAGGUGUAGCGGUGAAAUGCGUAGAUAUCUGGAGGAACACCGGUGGCGAAGGCGGCGUUCUGGACUGCAACUGACACUGAGGAACGAAAGCCAGGGGAGCAAACGGG